GACUUUGUAGUUGAAAAAGGAGCCUCAUAAAAGAAUGACAUUUCCUCCUAUGGAGUCCAUUCAUUCGCAUUUGGAGAUCAACACUUUUUCACUGGCAAGAUGGCGGAGAGCGUAAACAACAACUGCCAAAGAAACUGAAAACACUACCUGUGGUCAGUGUUUCCGAUUCUGUAGGACUAACAAGCUUGAAUUGACAUUGGUGUCUACAUUCACAAAGCCUCCAUAAAUUAAAUGAGUGUCUGCAUGGUGUAUUGCUGAGGACCCAAGGGUCAGUGUUGAGUGUGAAGUCAAUUGGAGGAGCGGUUCUUGAGAACACCGCAAGCAGCACUUCGAAGGGCCAAGCAAAGAAAAGGCUCCUUGGACGCAAGCAAUCAACCCACUCUGAAUAGAGACGCAUUCCAAACAUGCACGCUCCCCGACAACGCUGCAAGCAGCAAUACCAGGAGCCAAGUAACCGGCUUUGAACGGACACGUGAUACAAACUGGCAUGCUCCGAAUGGGUACUGC